CCGGCGGCAGCCUCCGCCCAGAGGAAACUUUAUAAAAACAAAAUCCGGAGCCUCCCAAACGUGACUGUCCCGGGAGAAGUGGCCCUGGACCGGCAUAAGCCACAGCCUGAAAAGACCCAGGAAGAGGAAAAGAGGAGGUAAGCGGGGCCGCCGCCUCCUGUCCCCUGGCAGCGCGGAAGAGACCCGGGUGGCCGCCUGAUAUAGCUACGCUAGCACCGCUUCUUCCUCAGUUACGCGCCGGAGCCUUCCGCAGCUGCCACCCCAGUCCGAAGGAGGAAAAGAACCAACCCACUUUUCAGCGCCUUGGCUCUUAUCUGAAGUAGAGCCUCAACCACCAGCAGGAUUUUUAAAAGGCUGUCUGACUAUUUGGAUUACUUCCUUAGGAUAGCUUGCCAGGAGUGGAGUUACUGGGUCAGAGGAAUGUGAAAACCUUUGCAUCUUCUGAUAGUCUAGCCAAGGUCCAAGAAGUAGCAAGCUGGCUUUUGGAAAUGAAUCAGGAACUGCUCUCUGUGGGCAGCAAAAGACGACGAACUGGAGGCUCUCUGAGAGGUAACCCUUCCUCAAGCCAGAUAGAUGAGGAACAGAUGAAUCGUGUGGUAGAGGAGGAACAGCAGCAGCAACUGAGACAACAAGAGGAGGAGCACACUGUAAGGAAUGGUGAAAUCGUUGGUGUAGAACCUCGACCUGGAGACCAAAAUGAUUCCCAGCAAGGACACUUGGAAGAAAACAAUAAUCGAUUUAUUUCAGUAGAUGAGGAUUCCUCAGGAAACCAAGAAGACCAUGAGGAAGAUGAAGAACAUGCUGGUGAACAAGAUGAGGAGGAUGAGGAGGAGGAGGAAAUGGACCAGGAGAGUGAUGAUUUUGAUCAGUCUGAUGACAGUAGCAGAGAAGAUGAACAUACACAUGGUAACAGUGUCACAAACUCCAGUAGCAUUGUGGACUUGCCCAUUCACCAACUCUCUUCCCCAUUCUAUACAAAGACAACAAAAGUGAGUAUAUUCAAUUUGCUGUUAACCUGAGAAACUUUACGUAUCUUUUAAUUGAAAUGAGAUCUUCCUCACAGUCUUCAUAAAUGUUGCAAAUUAACCUUCAUAUAUGUAUUAUAAUAAUAAAAUGAGCUAAGUUUUGUUUUACA